rnacentral:rRNA from 1 species
GUGAGGAAUUUUCCGCAAUGGGCGAAAGCCUGACGGAGCAAUGCCGCGUGAAGGAUGAAGGCCUAUGGGUUGUAAACUUCUUUUCUCAGAAAAGAAUUAUGACGGUAUCUGAGGAAUAAGCAUCGGCUAACUCUGUGCCAGCAGCCGCGGUAAGACAGAGGAUGCAAGCGUUAUCCGGAAUGAUUGGGCGUAAAGCGUCUGUAGGUUGUUUAAAAAGUAUUCUGUCAAAGAUUAGGGCUUAACCCUAGAUAGGCAGAAUAAACUUUUAAGCUAGAGUUUGGUAGAGGCAGAGGGAGUUCCCGGUGGAGCGGUGAAAUGCGUAGAUAUCGGGAGGAACACCAAAGGCGAAGGCACUCUGCUGGGCCAAUACUAACACUGAGAGACGAAAGCGAGGGGAGCAAAUGGGAUUAGAAACCCUUGUAGUCC